GUGACAGCCCCGUACACAAAAAUGCACAUGCUGUGAGCUCGAUGAGUAGGGCGGGACACGUGGUAUCCUGUCUGAAUAUGGGGGGACCAUCCUCCAAGGCUAAAUACUCCUGACUGACCGAUAGUGAACCAGUACCGUGAGGGAAAGGCGAAAAGAACCCCGGCGAGGGGAGUGAAAAAGAACCUGAAACCGUGUACGUACAAGCAGUGGGAGCACGCUUAGGCGUGUGACUGCGUACCUUUUGUAUAAUGGGUCAGCGACUUAUAUUCUGUAGCAAGGUUAACCGAAUAGGGGAGCCGAAGGGAAACCGAGUCUUAACUGGGCGUUAAGUUGCAGGGUAUAGACCCGAAACCCGGUGAUCUAGCCAUGGGCAGGUUGAAGGUUGGGUAACACUAACUGGAGGACCGAACCGACUAAUGUUGAAAAAUUAGCGGAUGACUUGUGGCUGGGGGUGAAAGGCCAAUCAAACCGGGAGAUAGCUGGUUCUCCCCGAAAGCUAUUUAGGUAGCGCCUCGUGAAUUCAUCUCCGGGGGUAGAGCACUGUUUCGGCAAGGGGGUCAUCCCGACUUACCAACCCGAUGCAAACUGCGAAUACCGGAGAAUGUUAUCACGGGAGACACACGGCGGGUGCUAACGUCCGUCGUGAAGAGGGAAACAACCCAGACCGCCAGCUAAGGUCCCAAAGUCAUGGUUAAGUGGGAAACGAUGUGGGAAGGCCCAGACAGCCAGGAUGUUGGCUUAGAAGCAGCCAUCAUUUAAAGAAAGCGUAAUAGCUCACUGGUCGAGUCGGCCUGCGCGGAAGAUGUAACGGGGCUAAACCAUGCACCGAAGCUGCGGCAGCGACGCUGAUGCGUUGUUGGGUAGGGGAGCGUUCUGUAAGCCUGCGAAGGUGUGCUGUGAGGCAUGCUGGAGGUAUCAGAAGUGCGAAUGCUGACAUAAGUAACGAUAAAGCGGGUGAAAAGCCCGCUCGCCGGAA
rnacentral:rRNA from 1 species